UUCUGGAUGGACAAAUUGGUAAAGUCACCUGUCUUUGACACAGGCGUCAGUAUUGACAUUGGAGGUUCGAAGCCUUCUCCAGAAGCCA
rnacentral:tRNA from 3 species